rnacentral:rRNA from 1 species
GUAGGACUACCCGCUGAACUUAAGCAUAUCAAUAAGCGGAGGAAAAGAAACCAACAGGGAUUGCCUCAGUAGCGGCGAGCGAAGCGGCAACAGCUCAAAUUUGAAAUCUGGCUUCGGCCCGAGUUGUAAUUUGGAGAGGAUGCUUUGGGCGCGGCGCCUUCCGAGUUCCUUGGAACAGGACGCCAGAGAGGGUGAGAGCCCCGUACGGUUGGACUCCAAGCCUAUGUAAAGCUCCUUCGACGAGUCGAGUAGUUUGGGAAUGCUGCUCAAAAUGGGAGGUAAAUUUCUUCUAAAGCUAAAUAUUGGCCAGAGACCGAUAGCGCACAAGUAGAGUGAUCGAAAGAUGAAAAGCACUUUGAAAAGAGGGUUAAACAGUACGUGAAAUUGUUGAAAGGGAAGCGCCUAUGACCAGACUUGCGCUCCGCGAACCACCCGGCGUUCUCGCCGGUGCACUUCGCGGGGUGCAGGCCAGCAUCGGUUUUCCCAGGGGGAUAAAGGUCGUAGGAACGUGACUCUUCCGGGAGUGUUAUAGCCUGCGGCGUCAUGCCCCUGGGGGGACCGAGGACCGCGCUUCGGCAAGGAUGCUGGCGUAAUGGUCAUCAGCGAC